rnacentral:lncRNA from 1 species
CGGGGUCCGAACCAACAGUCAGGUUCAGGCUGUGCUUAGACCAGGAAGCCCGGCGGGCCCCCUCCCUGCUGGGCGCUGCCCGAACACCCGGGUUUGUGUAAGGCCACGUACACACACACACAGAGCAGAGCACCAGUUCUGACAUGCUCCUCUGCCCAGACCACAGGCCUGCGGUGUCCUCUCAGACCCCGACGACACCCAGAAGUCGCGAGUUGGGUUCUCUGGUUCUUUCUAGAGGGUGGCCUGUGUCCCAGUCAAGCGCCAGGAAGGGCUCGCCCCCUCAGGCCAGAGCGGGUGCUGGACUCCCCCCUCAGGCCAGAAC